UACGGGGGGGGCAAGCGUUGUUCGGAAUUACUGGGCGUAAAGGGCGCGUAGGCGGCCUGCUAAGUCGGACGUGAAAUCCCUCGGCUCAACCGAGGAACUGCGUCCGAUACUGGUGGGCUUGAAUCCGGGAGAGGGAUGUGGAAUUCCAGGUGUAGCGGUGAAAUGCGUAGAUAUCUGGAGGAACACCGGUGGCGAAGGCGGCAUCCUGGACCGGUAUUGACGCUGAGGCGCGAAAGCUAGGGUAGCAAACGGGG
rnacentral:rRNA from 1 species